GCGAGAGUGGUGGAAUGGUAGACACGCUGGUCUUAGAAGCCAGUGCCGAAAGGCGUAGGGGUUCAAGUCCCCUCUCUCGCA
rnacentral:tRNA from 2 species